ensembl:lncRNA
GGAAUCUCUGAGAAAUAGUCGCAGACUUUUUGACACUAUCUGCGAUUGGGAAUUAGGGCUUGUAAUUAAACUGCGGGGACUCAACUCAGCACACAGAGUAAGUAAGGCUGCAGCGUCGUGCCUUGCAUGCAUUUUUUUGUGAUUAGCUGAUGAUUCUGCACCAAACAGUGUUUCUAUCCUCUGUGCUUUUGUUGCGGUUCUUUACACCGUCGUCUAAUUUGUCGGGCGUUACAGAACUCACAGAACGGCGAGAACAGAACUUGAUGAUCCUUUGUUUUUUUAAGCGUCAGCUCUUCUGGAGCCAUUACCAGUCACUAGAGAGAUCAAGGUGAGAAUUUAAAUGAGACAUUUUCUGCCGCAGUUUUAAUUUGAACGGGCUUCUGAGCGACCGUCAGACCCCGAGAGACGUUUUCAGUGGGAGAAAUGUGUCCAGAAAUACUAAAUAAUGAAUAUGUACAGCAGCAGAAUAUUAAAGGAGCAUUACAGUGAUGCAGGAUAGUCGUUGAGGAACGUCAGAGACACUCAACGUAUACACGAGGGGGUAUGACUGAAACUUCUGAUAAGAAAAUAAGACUUUUUUAAUAUUUAAUAAAAUAUUAGAAGUAAGACGAACAUACAGCCCUUUAUAAAAUAAAAUAGAGGGUUUUACGCGUCAUCGAAAGGAUAAUCCUGUGAAAAGGUUGUGAUUUCCCUCUUUUCUCGUUCUAGUUUUACCACAAAGAGAAGUUACUACAUCUUAGAAUAAAUAUACAUAUUUCGAUUAAUAGAAUACAAUAAAUAUAGUAAAUAAUCUAAAACUAAAUUAUGGUUGUAUCAUUUGAAUGGUUUAUUUUCGGAUAAAAAAGAAAUAAAAUAAGACAGAAAAAGAUAUUGCAUUAUUUUUCUUUCUUUUGAGAACGAAUCUUAUUUUCAGCCAUAUAAUAAUAAUAAUAAUAAUAACAACCAAACGAUUAUGGCUAUUAUUCCCGUUGUUAUAAUGAUGCUAUUCGUAUUGUAGUAUUUAAUGGAAAUAUUUAAGACAGUUACGAAUUUAUAGACAACAAGAAUACUACAAUUACACUACGCCUAGUAAUACUAACAAUGUACUUCGGAUAUCAUGGCUUUCUCUACGGGAACGAAACGCGGAUCAACCUGCGCUCACUUUAACACUUUAUUUACCGCUUUCCUUCAAAGCCGUUCGGAAGAAUAAAAAAAGAACAGAAUAGAGAGUGAGUGACAGACCAAAGCCAACGCUUUCUAAGAGAAGUAAACCGCCGUUUAUGCUCAAAGACACUUGUAAUCGCUCUGUCUCAGUCUCUGGGUCCAUUCGGCCCAAAACAAAUAGGGUGUGGUGUGAGAGAGGAAAAUCGGGACAAGCGAGGAAGACGACGGGAAGAAAGAGCUGGUGCGAUGGGGAGGAACCGAAGGACACGGUGCAUUUCCUUCAAACUGGUAAAAGAGACAAUAAAGAGAGUUAUCAACAGACUUCUGCGCCUUUUAUCUCUUUGUUGGAGGAUCUGAGAAGGCGUUCCACGCGAUUACUUCAUGAUGAGAAUGAAUUCCCCUGUCUCUGUUAUAUUGUAGGCCUCCAACAUAUGAAAGAACCCACUUGAAAACCUGCAGGUUGGGUCGUGCUCACCUUUUUGCCUUGUGGCUUUUGUGGCGUUUCCUAUAAAGGAAACAUUUGCAAAACAGCCACUAAGAAUCCAAGAGAUCCUCUUGCACGAGGAUCUCUCCUCUUGGGUGUUUUAUUUCCUCAAGGCUCUCGCUUUAUUGCUGCUGUUCAGUGCUUUUGUUGAGUCUGAAUAUUCUUUUUUUUUAAAUUUGAGAAUAUGAUGACCAGUCUUUUGGUACAAAUGUGUUGACAUCGAGUAUUUGCAUCGAAUGCCAAAAGCAGCGUGUUGCUUCUAUCGGAGGCUCAAGCUAAACAAACAAGCUUCUUGGUCAUCUGGAUUUAACAAUAAACUCAAAUUAAAAACGAUUAGAAAAAAAAUACCCGUGUUGAAUCUUGUCGUUGGGCCAUCUCGGCAUCAUGAUUGUUCCAAUUUGUUCGGAGAAAAACGCGAGUCUUAUUUUGGGAAAAUCCUCUCUAUUUUAUCGCAGGGAAUUUAGGCUCGACUUUCGGCCUCUCGGCUUCCGUCUGCGCUGAUCCGGCUUACAGAGAAGACCGGUCCAUCUCCUCCCUUUCUUCCUUAUUUACUCAGAACUCCUUUGUUAUAUUGCCUUUGCGUGUGAGCAAAGGUGAAACAGCUCCUGAAAUCUGCUGCUUCAAACUUUUGUUAUAAAAAAAAAGUCAGGAAAAACGGAAAAAACUUUCUGCAGAUUUUGGAAUGAGAGCUGAACAAAAAUACAUCCCUUAAGAUUGAGAGUGUGUGCAUGAACGUUUAUCUUCAUAUCUUCAAUGGAUUUUCAGGAAUGAGCAGCCUUGUGUUUAUUUCGAAUUAAUCACAAUCAUAUUACUAAAUAUGUAUUUAAAAUAACUAACACGUUCAUUAUUUGUAGAAGCGACAUUGGUCUGACACAAUUGUGUUGAUUUAUUCUGUGUUUGGUGUAAAAACAGCGCUUCCUACCAGGGAGGGAGUGUGAUGCUAACAAUGGGCCUGGAGCCAAAACCUAUUGACACAGAAGGCAGAGGGAAUCUACCAGAAAGCUGACUUUUUAGCUUCCUGGCUGCGAUUGGCCGGCUGUCUGGGCAGUGAUAGCAGCCCUGGAGCCGAGGAUGAUUGAUGACGGCGAGGGCAAGACCGAGCGCUGGCAGCAUAAAGCCACAUCGACGCCUCAAUAAAGAGCCUGGCUAGUGGAGAGCCUGGGCCCCGCUCAAUAGGGCCCCUUUCGCCUCCGAGGACCCACGGCCAGAGGACUACAUGGAGGGAGAGAGAGAGAGAGAGAGAGAGAGAGAGAGAAGGAAAGGUACUCUGUUGUUAGAUAAUCUGUUUAGCUAUCGAGCCAGCAGCCGUCUGAGGCUGGAUAAGUGCAGCGACGGAUGUGUGGGGGGGGGAUGUGGAGAGGGAGAAAAAGAGAGGGAGAGAUGGAUCAUCCAGUCUCAGGAUUUAUAAUGGUGGAUGAGGGGUGGGGGGUGGGAUCUGCAGAAUGCUUUUCACACGAGCUGGAAAAGAUCCCCAAAAGUUGACCGCGAGAAAGUGAUUCUGCUGCUGCUGCUGCUGCUGCCGCCAGUCAGCCUACAGAUUCAGGACUGUCGUGACCUCUGCUUCAGCAGAUCAAUGAGACCCUGUUGGGUUGGAUUCCACCGGUGCAGCGUCCACCGCUGUGGCCCCGGUCCGCAGGCCUCCCUGCGGUAACCUCCCCCCCCCCUCCCCCUCCAGUGCACAGCGGCUCUGAAAAGCACAAUUAGGCAGCAAUCUGCUCCCACCAAGCCAGCUUUCAGUGACUCCAGCAUGGAGACACGGUGUCCUGCAGACCCUCCCUGGCUGGAGUUGGCAGGACGGAGGUCUGAGAGUGAUGGCCUGGUCAGCGUCGUCACCCUGCAGGGAGCACGGAGUUCAAGGAGGAGAAGUUGUUUUGUAUCCGUGGCAAUGUGUUGCACUUACUUAAUCAGAUUUGCUGACUGACUCAGACAAAAAUAAAGCAUUUGAACAAAAUGAAACAAGAGGCUGUAAUUGUUUUUCUAUCAAAGCUAAAAUGUAAUAAUUUUUUGCAACGCUUUGUUGUAAUGAGUAUUGAUUUUCAUUUGAAUCUCUUUCAAAUAAAUCUACACAAAGUAA